rnacentral:ncRNA from 1 species
UCUGUUUGAUUCUAACUGAAUUGUUAGCUUAAACGAAUCAAUUAUAUGUAAAAUUUUAUUUAAAGUGUUCUUAAAGAACAACAUAAAUGCUAUAUGGAAAUAUUAUCCUUAUGCAAAUAAUUACAGUAGGAAAGUUUACUUAUAUAUGAAAGAAGGAAGCAGGUUUCGUUUAUAGGGUGGGCAAAAGUUGUGCCAGCAGCUGCGGUUAGACAGCACACUCAAGUUAACAUCUUAUAGGUUAAUAGAUUUGAUAUGUUAAAAAAUUUAAUGGGUAUAAUUUACAUAGUUUUAGUUUCUUAAGUAUCUUUGAUUUCAUGAAAACAUAAAUAAAAACACGGAUUAGAUACCCGUCUAUUUAUGAAGUAGUAGUUUAACCGAGUAAUACGAAUAGUAAUUUAAAACUCCAAGAUUUUGGCGGUGCUUUAUCUAAUUAGGGGAACCUGUUUUUUAAAUCGAUAGUCCACGAAAAACAUACCUUUCUUUGAAACACAAAUCAGUUUGUAUACUGCCGUCGUAAGUAAACCUCUUAAAGUUAGUAUGCUAAAAUGUAAUUUAUAACAUUUACGUCAGGUCAGAGUGCAAUUUAUAGGAAGGAAAUAAUGGGUUACAAUCUUUUAUUAAGAUACGUAAAAUUAGUUUAAAUACUAUUUAGAAGGAGGACUUAAUUGUAAUUAAUUAUAAUUAAUAGAAAUGAAAUUGAACGUGAAGCAUGCACAUAUCGCCCGUCACUCUCACUUUUAAAGUGAGAUAAGUCGUAACAAAGUAGGUGUAACGGAAGUUGUACCUGU